GAACGCACCUUGCGCUCCUUGGUAUUCCGAGGAGCAUGCCUGUUUGAGUGUCAUGUAGACUCAAUCCCUCGGGUUUCCGAGGAGAUUGGACUUGGGUGUUGCCGCUCUGCCGGCUCGCCUUAAAAGACUUAGCGGGAUAGCACCGUAGUCGGCGUAAUAAGUUUCGUCGGUGAAGGUUGUGAUGACUGCUUACAAUCGCCCUCGGGCAAUUUUUGACUCUGACCUCAAAUCAGGUAGGACUACCCGCUGAACUUAAG
rnacentral:misc_RNA from 1 species